GACGAACGCUGGCGGCGUGCUUAACACGUGCAAGUCGAACGGAAAGGCCCUUCGGGGUACUCGAGUGGCGAACGGGUGAGUAACACGUGGGUGAUCUGCCCUGCACUUUGGGAUAAGCCUGGGAAACUGGGUCUAAUACCGAAUAGGACCACGCGCUUCAUGGUGUGUGGUGGAAAGCUUUUGCGGUGUGGGAUGGGCCCGCGGCCUAUCAGCUUGUUGGCGGGGUAAUGGCCUACCAAGGCGACGACGGGUAGCCGGCCUGAGAGGGUGACCGGCCACACUGGGACUGAGAUACGGCCCAGACUCCUACGGGAGGCAGCAGUGGGGAAUAUUGCACAAUGGGCGCAAGCCUGAUGCAGCGACGCCGCGUGAGGGAUGACGGCCUUCGGGUUGUAAACCUCUUUCACCAGGGACGAAGCGUAAGUGACGGUACCUGGAGAAGAAGCACCGGCCAACUACGU
rnacentral:rRNA from 1 species